rnacentral:rRNA from 1 species
UACCAGCACCCCGCGUGGUCGGGACGAUUAUUGGGCCUAAAGCAUCCGUAGCCGGUUUUACAAGUCCUCCGUUAAAUCCAGCUGCUUAACAGAUGGGCUGCGGAGGAUACUACAAGACUAGGAGGCAGGAGAGGCAAGCGGUACUCAGUGGGUAGGGGUAAAAUCCGUUGAUCCAUUGAAGACCACCAGUGGCGAAGGCGGCUUGCCAGAAUGCGCUCGACGGUGAGGGAUGAAAGCUGGGGGAGCAAACCGG